rnacentral:rRNA from 1 species
GACGAACGCUGGCGGCGUGCUUAACACAUGCAAGUCGAACGGAAAGGCCCUGCUUUUGUGGGGUGCUCGAGUGGCGAACGGGUGAGUAACACGUGAGUAACCUGCCCUUGACUUUGGGAUAACUUCAGGAAACUGGGGCUAAUACCGGAUAGGAGCUCCUGCUGCAUGGUGGGGGUUGGAAAGUUUCGGCGGUUGGGGAUGGACUCGCGGCUUAUCAGCUUGUUGGUGGGGUAGUGGCUUACCAAGGCUUUGACGGGUAGCCGGCCUGAGAGGGUGACCGGCCACAUUGGGACUGUGAUACGGCCCAGACUCCUACGGGAGGCAGCAGUGGGGAAUAUUGCACAAUGGGCGGAAGCCUGAUGCAGCAACGCCGCGUGCGGGAUGACGGCCUUCGGGUUGUAAACCGCUUUCGCCUGUGACGAAGCGUGGGUGACGGUAAUGGGUAAAGAAGCACCGGCUAACUACGUG